CCUACGGGCGACAGCAGUGAGGAAUAUUGGUCAAUGGACGAGAGUCUGAACCAGCCAAGUAGCGUGAAGGAUGACUGCCCUAUGGGUUGUAAACUUCUUUUAUAUGGGAAUAAAACGUUCCACGUGUGGGAUUUUGUAUGUACCAUAUGAAUAAGGAUCGGCUAACUCCGUGCCAGCAGCCGCGGUAAUACGGAGGAUCCGAGCGUUAUCCGGAUUUAUUGGGUUUAAAGGGAGCGUAGGUGGAGUGUUAAGUCAGUUGUGAAAGUUUGCGGCUCAACCGUAAAAUUGCAGUUGAAACUGGCAGUCUUGAGUACAGGAGAGGUGGGCGGAAUUCGUGGUGUAGCGGUGAAAUGCUUAGAUAUCACGAAGAACUCCGAUUGCGAAGGCAGUUCACUGGACUGCAACUGACACUGAGGCUCGAAAGUGUGGGUAUCAAACAGGAUUAGAUACCCUGGUAGUC
rnacentral:rRNA from 1 species